UACGAAGGGGGCUAGCGUUGCUCGGAAUUACUGGGCGUAAAGCGCACGUAGGCGGCUUUCUAAGUCGGGGGUGAAAUCCUGGAGCUCAACUCCAGAACUGCCUUCGAUACUGGAAAGCUCGAGUCCGGGAGAGGUGAGUGGAACUGCGAGUGUAGAGGUGAAAUUCGUAGAUAUUCGCAAGAACACCAGUGGCGAAGGCGGCUCACUGGCCCGGUACUGACGCUGAGGUGCGAAAGCGUGGGGAGCAAACAGGG
rnacentral:rRNA from 1 species